rnacentral:lncRNA from 1 species
GGGCCCUAAACCCAAGGACUAGUGUCCUUGUGUGAGAGGAGACAUACAGGAAGAACACCAUGUGACAGUGGAGGCAAAAAUUUAGGUGACCCAACUACAAGCCCAGGGAUACCAAGGAUUUCCAAUCACUGCCAGAAGCCAGAAGAGGCUUAGAAUAGAUUGUCCCUCAGAGCUUCUGGAAGCAACCAACCGUGCUGACACCUUGAUUUCAGAUUUCUGGUCUCUAGAACAGUGAGAGAAUCAAUUUCAUUUGUUGUAAGCCACUCAGUUUGUGGUGAUUUUUUUCCAGCAGCUCUUAAAAAUUAUAUACCCAGUUUCAAGUAAGGUUGAACAUUUUCUCAUUUAUCUAUUGGUCUUUUGGAUUUCACAUUCUCUAAAAUGACCCCUUUUAUUCACAUAUUCACAUAGUGGUCGUCUUUCUACUAUCCACUGACUAAAAAAAAAAAAAAAUGGAAACUACAUAUUUACAGGUUCCUAAACCUUUUUCACAGUCCACAGUCUUCCAGGAAUCUGCUGCCCACUGGUUGGGAACCUUGUUCUACAGGACUAAAUUUCAACACUUGUCCAGGGAUUGGUGGUGCACAUCUGUCAUCCCAGUGACUUGGGAGGCUGAGGCAGGAAGAUUUCAAGUUCAAGGCCAGCUUCAGAAACAUAGUGACCCUGUCUAAAAAAAGGGAGGGGGAGACUUUGGAUGUAGCUCAGUAGAAGAGCACCCAGGGGUGCCCUUCCCUGAAUACACCCAUGAUUUCCCUCUUCCCUGAAUACACCUAUCACUUCCCCUCCUCCACCUCUAUUCUCCCUUCCACUGUAAUUCGUAUCCACCCUGCAAGGCUCAGCUUAAAUGUGCUAUUUCUAGAAAACUGUCUGAUAGUUUUCUGUCUUCAUCCCAUGCUUUAGCCCUAGGUUGAGCUGAAUACUCCUUCCUGUUCCUUGGUACUCUAAGCAUACCUCUUUGUUCAUAGGAACUUUUUUUUUUUUUUUUUUGCCUACUGGGGAUUGACCCUAGGAGCAUUCUACCAAUGAGCUACAUCCCCAGCCCUUUUUAUUGUUUAUUUAUUUUGAAACAAGGUCUCACUGAGUUACUAAAGCUGGCCUCAAACUUGAAGUCUUCCUGCCUCAGCUUCCCAAGUUGCCGGGAUUCUAGGUGUGCAUGCCUGGCUCAUAGGGAGAUAUAUAUAUAUAUAUUUUAACAAAUUAGCUUGGUUGGGCUAGGGAUAUAGUUCAGUUACUAGAGUGCUUGCCUUGCAUGCACAAGGCCCUGGGUUCAAUCCCCAGCAUAUACACAAAAAAAAAUAGCUUGGUCUUUCUUUCCCUCUCUCCCCUUUCUU